rnacentral:rRNA from 1 species
CCUACGGGAGGCUGCAGUGAGGAAUAUUGGUCAAUGGGCGCAAGCCUGAACCAGCCAAGUCGCGUGAGGGAUGACGGUCCUAUGGAUUGUAAACCUCUUUUGUCGGGGAGCAAGGCCCGCCACGUGUGGCGGGAAGGAGAGUACCCGAAGAAAAAGCAUCGGCUAACUCCGUGCCAGCAGCCGCGGUAAUACGGAGGAUGCGAGCGUUAUCCGGAUUUAUUGGGUUUAAAGGGUGCGUAGGCGGCCUUUUAAGUCAGCGGUGAAAGUCUGUGGCUCAACCAUAGAAUUGCCGUUGAAACUGGGAGGCUUGAGUAUGUUUGAGGCAGGCGGAAUGCGUGGUGUAGCGGUGAAAUGCAUAGAUAUCACGCAGAACUCCGAUUGCGAAGGCAGCAUACCGGCGCUCAACUGACGCUGAGGCACGAAAGCGUGGGGAUCGAACAGGAUUAGAUACCCUUGUAGUC